GUGACAGACCCUGUAUCACCUUUACUUCUUAUUGCUGUAUCCUGUUUGAUUAUUUCUUUGAUUGCAAAUAUUGUUUUGAUCCGUCUCAAAACUCCAACAGCAGCAUGUAAACAAUUUAAAGAGAUAGAAGGGACAUCUUUAGAAGAAAGAUCAAGGAACUUCAGUGAGCAAGGUGAUCAGACUAAUGAUGACGAGCAGAACCUGAACUAUGCAGCAUUACACUUCUCUGCUGGUAAAGGUAGAAGAGGAAAGAAAAUGAAUGGGGCUGAGGACAGUGUUUAUUCACAUAUUAAACUGUAAAAUCCGCAUACCUGAUAUACAUGUGUGACAUGUUUUAUAGAUCUACACUGAAAAUAACGGUGAAUUCAUUCAUUACUUUCUACUUGUAAAAUUCAGUCUAAAAGACCAGCUUUUGUUAUGUUACCUGCGUAAAAUAAAGU